GACGAACGCUGGCGGCGUGCCUAAUACAUGCAAGUCGAACGCACUGACAGAGAAACUUGUUUCUCUAGACGUGAGUGGCGCACGGGUGAGUAACACGUGGGAAACCUACCCUUCAGCGGGGGAUAACCGUCGGAAACGAUGGCUAAUACCGCAUAGGUCUUUUAACCACCUGGUUGAAAGAGGAAAGACGGCUUCGGCUGUCACUGAAGGAUGGUCCCGCGGUGCAUUAGCUAGUUGGUAAGGUAACGGCUUACCAAGGCGAUGAUGCAUAGCCGACCUGAAAGGGUGAUCGGCCACAUUGGGACUGAGACAAGG
rnacentral:rRNA from 1 species